rnacentral:rRNA from 1 species
GAUGAACGCUGGCGGCGUGCCUAAUACAUGCAAGUCGAGCGAACGGACGAGAAGCUUGCUUCUCUGAUGUUAGCGGCGGACGGGUGAGUAACACGUGGAUAACCUACCUAUAAGACUGGGAUAACUUCGGGAAACCGGAGCUAAUACCGGAUAAUAUUUUGAACCGCAUGGUUCAAAAGUGAAAGACGGUCUUGCUGUCACUUAUAGAUGGAUCCGCGCUGCAUUAGAUAGUUGGUAAGGUAACGGCUUACCAAGGCAACGAUGCAUAGCCGACCUGAGAGGUUGAUCGCCCACCCUGAACCUAAAACACGUUCCAAACUCCUACGGAAGCCAGCAUUAGGAAAUCUUCCGCAAUGGGCGAAGCCUGACGGAGCAACGCCGCGUGAGUGAUGAAGGUCUUCGGAUCGUAAAACUCUGUUAUUAGGGAAGAACAUAUGUGUAAGUAACUGUGCACAUCUUGACGGUACCUAAUCAGAAAGCCACGGCUAACUACGUG